rnacentral:misc_RNA from 1 species
AACGCAUAUUGCGCUUGUUGGCAACUUCAAGCACGUCUGUCUCAGGAACGGUACCCAAAAACCUCAAACCCCUCGACACAUGCACUUGGAAGCGAGUGUAUGGGGGGGGGUGUGGAGAGUGAGCGUCAUAGCGAGGCUGUUUGAGUACGGUCGGGCUACGUCGGUCGAAAAGCAAGGGCGCGGUGUUAAGCUCUAGAGCCGAAGGGCCUAAUUGAUGGCAAGCCGUGAUGUGCCAGCCUUCCCUCGGGAGGAGCGGCAUCACCGUUUUUGCCUGUGGGCACCCGAUGGAGGAGGACUCUAGGACCGGGCGACAGGUUGAAAUGGGAAGGGCUCUGAGGGGGGUACAAGACAAUGUAGCCUCUCUCUUUGGUCUUUUCGGACUCGUUCUGAGAUCAGUCGAGAUUACCCGCUGAACUUAA